rnacentral:rRNA from 1 species
UAAACUAGGAUUAGAUACCCUAUUAUUUAGAGCUUUACAUUGUAAGUAAAUAAUAAUUACGAAAGCAAAAAAUUAUGGCGGUAUUUUAAGCUUUUCAGAGGAAUUUGCUCUUUAAUGGAUAAAACACCUAAAUCUUACUUAAAUUUGUUAAAUCAAUUUGUAUACCACUAUUAAAUUAAUUAAUAAUUUUAAUUUAUAAAAUUUAUAUAAAUUUAAAAAAAAUUAAGUCAAGGUGCAGUAAAAAUUUAAGAAUGAAGUGAAUUACAUUUCUUUUAAGAGAUUAUUUAAAUUAAAAAUUUAAUUUAGGAUUUGAAAGUAAAAUUAAAAUAGAAUGUUAAUUUGAAUUGAGCUCUAAAAUAUGUACACAUCGCCCGUC